CCGCUCGAAGACGACGAACUCGUCGAAUACAUCAUCACCGGUUUGGACCGUGAUUUUACCUCACUUGUCUCUGCCCUCGUUGCAAGGGUGGAGCCAAUCUCAGUUGAAGAAUUAUAUUCUCAGAUGCUGAGUUACGAAA
rfam:Zea mays cultivar B73 chromosome 5, whole genome shotgun sequence.